UAAGUCUUGAUAAUCGAGGCUGUUGUGUCUGCUUGGAGAGACGCCAUGACUUAGAUUUCUUGGAGCCCAGAUCAGUAUACAAAAUGUCAAUCAUUAAACAUUAAACAUGCUGCCUUGGAGAAUUAAUUUAGAGAAUUAAAAGUAUUUUAAAAACUGAAUUAAAAUGAGUGCGUGUUAUAUGCAUUGACAUUUUUGCUGGUCUGGGCCCAAGGUGGGAGAUGGAGAGUGGUACUUCAAAAUGAGAAUCCCUGUUGUGCUUAUGUUGGUGGUGAUUAUCCCUUGCACGAUUUUUACGCUACAUUGCAAACACCUUUGUAUGAUCAGAGACCUUAUACUCAGCAGAGUACUGAGGAAACCUUAACGUCUGUGAUUCGACAAAUAAAAAAACCAACAGUUACGCGGAAAGGGUACCGGAAAAUCAAUUAGAUGGAAAAGAAGGAAAGAUAUGGUAUACUGCUCAUCAUGGUGCCUUUAACGAAAAUAAACCAGGUCAAGUUCGGGUGGUAUUUGACUGUGCAGUGCUGUUUGAAGGUAUAUCUCUAAAUCAAAAACUGUUACAAGGACCAGAUAUGACAAACAAUUUAAUAGGGGUCCUGUUAUGGUUCCGUCAAGGUCAUGGGUGAUAUCGAGUCUAUGUUUUAUCGAGUACGUGUGCCGGAGUGCGAUCAGGAUUUUUUACGUUUCAUAUGGUGUCCUGAUGGCAAUUUGGACUCAAGACCUGUUGACUAUAGAAUGGCUGUUCUCCUAUUUGGGGCGGUGUCAUCCCCGUCAUGUGCAAAUCUAGCUCUCAGACAAACCGCGUUUGACAUUGUGAAUAAUUAUAAUUCAUCUGUGAUUGAUACUGUUUUGAGAAACUUUUAUGUGAAUGACUGUCUAAAGUCCCUAGAUGAUGAGUUUGAGAUGAUUAAACUUGUCACAAAUUUGUGUUCACUCUGUGCUAAGGGUGGAUUUAAUUUAGUAAAGUGGAUUUCUUAAACUGUCGUGAUGUUUUAUCGUCAGUGCCUACGGAUCAUAGAGCCAAAGAGGUUGUGAAGAACUCCCCGUGGAGCGAGCUCUGGGUAUAACAUGGAUGGUUGAAAAAGAUGUCUUUCGUUUAAAAUUAACAGCCGCCAACAAGACAUGAUAUUUUUUUCGACUGUAGGGUCCGUAUACGACCCCCCUUGGUUUAAUAUCACCUUUUAUCUUCCAGCAAAAUCUAUACUCCAAAAUCUAUGUCGUCUAAAUUUGGGAUGGGAUGACGAAAUACCUCCUACAGAACUGCAAAGAUGGAAGAAUUUCUUGGAAGAUCUCCCGACCCUCCAGGAGUUUGUCAUAUGACGGUGUUAUAAACCAGAAAAUUUUGGAAAUGUUGUUUCCUGUCAACUCCAUACAUUUGCAGAUGCAAGUAGCGAUACUGGUUAUGGAAUGGUUUCUUAUCUUCGCUUGGUAAAUGAUUCCGGUAAAAUUCACUGUUAUCUGUUGUUUGGCAAGUCUCGUGUAGCACCACUAAAGAAGAUAACUGUCCCAAGAAUGGAGCUAACGGCUGCAACCAUAGCUGUUAACCUUACCAAUAAGGUCCUAAAGGAAUAAGAGAUUAAUAUUGAUCAGCUGUUCUACUGGACCGAUUCCGUGUCUGUAUUGAGAUACAUUCAAAAUAAAAGUACAAGGUUCCUAACAUUCGUCGCCAAUCGAGUAGCUGCUAUCCGAGAUGGAAGUAAAGUGUCACAGUGGCAUUACGUUGGUACCAAGGAGAAUCCUGCAGAUUUGGCUUCCCAAGGCAUAUCUGUACGAAACACUGAUAAUGUGAAUCGCUGGUUACAUGGACCUUUGUUCUUACAUAAACCCAAAAAUGAAUGGCCUAUUCAACAACUGUCGACCGAAUCUCUUUCAGAAACCGAUCCCGAAUUCAAAAUAAAAGUACAAGGUUCCUAACAUUCGUCGCCAAUCGAGUAGCUGCUAUCCGAGAUGGAAGUAAAGUGUCACAGUGGCAUUACGUUGGUACCAAGGAGAAUCCUGCAGAUUUGGCUUCCCAAGGCAUAUCUGUACGAAACACUGAUAAUGUGAAUCGCUGGUUACAUGGACCUUUGUUCUUACAUAAACCCAAAAAUGAAUGGCCUAUUCAACAACUGUCGACCGAAUCUCUUUCAGAAACCGAUCCCGAAUUGAAGAAGGCUGUUACAGCAGCUACGUUUGGUGUCCCUGAUUCAACAACCGAUCGUUUGCUUACACGAUUUUCAAGCUGGUCGAAAUUAAAACUGAUUGUCGCUCGACUAUUGAUUUGUUCUGAUUUUCUUAGAGAAAGAGCGAGUAAACGAAAGGAAGUCGCCACAACUUUAAAAUAUGGUGUUUUAGACCAAGCCCACCUACAGGUGAAGGUCACAACAGACAUUAAUGAACAGAAUUUACGAAGACUAAUCGUCCCUUGGUUUUAGAAGAUAUCCAAAGAGCAGAGAAGAGUCUUUUUCGCUUUAUCCAGAGUAAGAGUUUUAGAGAGGAGAUUGAGUUGUUGAAAAAAGGAGGAAGUGUCAAGAAGAGUAGUACAUUAAAGAGACUUGACCCAAUUUUGUGUGAUGGAUUAUUGAGAGUUGGGGGAAGGUUGACUCUGUCUGAACUUUCUUACGAUGCUAAACAUCCUAUUAUCCUUCCUAAAAAUUCACCUGUGUCAAACUUGAUAGUUCGGUCCACCCAUCUAGUUGUAGGUCAUUUAGGUAGGGUCACUGUUUUGUCAAGGAUUCGUUAAAAACUGUGGAUUAUUCAUGGUCCUGCCUUGGUUAAAGAUUUGCUGUCAAAGUGUGUUCUGUGUCGGAAAUAUGGUACCAAAAUUAAAAGAUGGCUAAUUUACCACAGGAAAGACUUAAACCUGACGAACCUGUCUUUUCGCGUGUUGGAAUGGAUUUCUUUGGUCCUCUAGAAGUAAAGCGAGGUCGUUCAACUGUAAAAAGAUAUGGAGUUAUAUUUACAUGUCUCGCAUCACGUGCUGUUCAUUUAGAGAUGUCUUUUAAUUUAGACUUGUAUUAACUCUAUAAGACGAUUUAUAGCAUGCAGAGGGUCUAUCCAGUACCUCGUCAGUGAUAAUGGUUCAAAUCUAGUAGGAUCUGAACGUGAUAUGCGCGAAGACAUUGAAAAGUGGAAUUUGUCCAAAAUUGGUCAAGAACUGUUACAGCAGAACAUAAAAUGGGAGUUUAAUCCUCCGUCAGGUUCUAAUUUUGGUGGUGUAUGGGAGAGAUUAAUUCGCUCUGUCCGAAAAAUCUUAUACGGAUUGCUCUGUGAACGUCUAAUACCACUGGAUGGCGAAAAAUCUUCAGACUCUUUUGUGUGAAGUGGAAGCAAGUAUGAAUUCGCGCCUAAUUACAAAACUAUCCAACGAUUUGAAUGACUUGGACGUAUUGACCCCGAAUCACCUUCUGUUGUUGCGAGCUGGGGAAUCACGUCCUAUUGGUGUCUUUGACAAAAAGGACAAUUUUGCUAUAAGGCGUUGGCGUCAAAUCCAAUAUUUGGCAGAUAUCUUUUGGAAAAUAUGGUCCACAGAGUACCUACAAUUGCUACAGGAGAGGCAAAAGUGGCUGACACCGAAAAGAAAUGUCCCCCUGAAUGAUAUUGUAUUAAUUGUGGAGGGAACUAUAAGAAGUUCCUACACCUUAGGGCGUGUGGUUAAGGUUCACCCCGACAAAAAUGGCCUUGUUAGAGUUGUCACUGUUAAGACUAGGACGAAUACAGUAAACCGUCCUGUAAAUAAGUUAAGCUUGCUGUUAGAAUCGGAAUUUUAAAUUCCAUGGACGAAAUGACCCCAAAACCCAAUGGUUAGUAUUUUCGUUAUGGUUUUAAAUGCUUGGGUAGGCAAAAGACUGUAUGUUUUAAAACUCUUAAGUUUAUCUGUACAUGUAAAUAUGAAGGAUAUAAUUUUAUGUAAGAGAGUGUUCUAUUUGUUAAGUAUAAUCAGAAUAUUGUAUUUCUUUUAGAUAGACUGAGGUCUAUAAGUUAUUCCUCGACUGUUUGGAAAGAGGUUUAAUAUGUUUUGAGAUUGAUAGCUAAGUUCACUAGACUGUUUGGAAAUAGUGUUACCUUGGCAAAAUUAUUCCUCGACUGUUUGGAAAGAGGUUUAAUAUGUUUUGAGUAAGUUCACUAGACUGUUUGGAAAUAAUGUAACUGAGAUUAUGUGAGGUAUUUCAUGUAAUAGUAAUGUAGUAAUAACUGUAAAUAUGAUUAAGUUACCAUUAAGAAUGUAUUUUGUGUUUAUGGAUUAAGAGUUAUAAACUUCGUUAGAUAUCGCUAUUACAAUUUGCUUUCAAUACCUGUUUUAGGUAAUCGCUUCUUGAUCAUGUACGAUUAGGAGGCCGGUGUAAGACACCAAUAUUUUGCGCGGGCUUCUGUAACAGAUACCUGAUUGUCCAGUCUAAAUUUAAUGUAAUUUGUUAGUCAUAUUUAAGUCUUGAUAAUCGAGGCUGUUGUGUCUGCUUGGAGAGACGCCAUGCCUUAAAGUUUGUUGGUAGAUUUCUUGGAGCCCAGAUCAGCAUACAAAAAUGGUGAGAAACAAUGCAAACUAGGGCCCACACCUUACGCUUACACCUUAUAUUGCUUUAAGGUCAGCUACAUAAAUUAUGUCCCCCAAAACAGCCAGUUUUACGUAAGUCAAGCCUGUGUUGCUCGGCCCAGCGUUUUAGGGGUUUUGGCGCAGUAAUGCCCAAAGUCGUAAUCCCGUUAAAAUGUUGUGUUUCACGCAAGAUGUUGUCAGUUUAUAGUAUUAUACAUUAUUGUAGUAUUUUAAGGCUUAUUGAUUAUUUGUGUCUUACUGCAAGUGCCAUAGUAACGUUUCUCAUCCAGUGCAGAUCUAGGCUACGGCCUGAAUGGAAAACUAACGGCCAUACAGCUAUUUAUGUCCUACUGCAAGUGCCAAAUAAAUGUUUCUCACCCAGUGCGGAGCUAGGCCUAUCUAGGAUACGUUUUGAAUUCCAAAAGAAGGCUUUACAGGUACACCCUACCUGUCAUAUUAGUUUUAUUUAUAACAGAUAUUUAUUGUUUUAUUAUUGUAUUUUUCAGUCAAUCAUUAAACAUUAAACAUGCUGCCUUGGAGAAUUAAUUUAGAGAAUUAAAAGUAUUUUAAAAACUGAAUUAAAAUGAGUGCGUGUUAUAAAGAUCUAUGGUUGGCAGAAUUGGAGAAAAUGUCAUUCCUGGAAUUCAUAGGGUCGCGGCCCAGUGCGAAACAGCUCACUGAAGAAAUGAAAACAAAAAAAAUACGACAACUGAAAUACUAUACAAAACAACUACGGUACAUGUACUUUGUAAAAUGCAGGUAA